GACGAACGCUGGCGGCGUGCCUAAUACAUGCAAGUCGAACGAGUGGCGGACGGGUGAGUAAUGUCUGGGAAACUGCCCGAUGGAGGGGGAUAACUACUGGAAAUGGUAGCUAAUACCGCAUACCAUCGGAUGUGCCCAGAUGGGAUUAGCUUGUAGGUGGGGUAACGGCUCACCUAGGCGACGAUCCCUAGCUGGUCUGAGAGGAUGACCAGCCACAAUGGAACUGAGACACGGUCCAGACUCCGACGGGAGGCAGCAGUGGGGAAUAUUGCACAAUGGGCGAAAGCCUGAUGCAGCCAUGCCGAGUGUAUGAAGAAGGCCAUCGGGUUGUAAAGUACUUUCAGCGAGGAGGCGUUACUCGCAGAAGAAGCACCGGCUAACACCAUGCCAGCAGCCGCGGUAAUAC
rnacentral:rRNA from 1 species